rnacentral:lncRNA from 1 species
CCACUUGUGCGCCAAAAGUCAAGCACCCAUUGGUCUUCCACAUUCUGCAAUCAUCAUAGCCAAGUAUCUAGGGUUUGGCCUCCUGUUCCUUCAAGGUCUAUCAUAUUCAUACUAAAUAAAUAAAAAGAAAUGAGAAAUGAAAGGGAUUCACCUUCUUCUGCUGAUCGAAUCAACUUCUUCUUUUGCCGACUGUCGAAUCUACUUCACCAGUUCAGAGAGCUCACGGUUCACUACUAAGUGGUCUACGCCUUCUUCUUCCAAAAAU